rnacentral:rRNA from 1 species
CAGUCGCCGCGGGAAUACGAAGGGUGCAAGCGUUACUCGGAAUUACUGGGCGUAAAGCGUGUGUAGGUGGUUGUUUAAGUCUGUCGUGAAAGCCCUGGGCUCAACCUGGGAAUUGCGAUGGAUACUGGGCGACUAGAGUGCGGUAGAGGAUAGUGGAAUUUCCGGUGUAGCAGUGAAAUGCGUAGAGAUCGGAAGGAACAUCUGUGGCGAUGGCGGCCAUCUGGGACAACACUGACACUGAGGCACGAAAGCGUGGGGAGCAAACAGGAUUAGAUACCCCUGUAGUCCCUGUCUCUUAUAC